GUGCGCCGUUUUUUAAGCCCGUCAGAAAAGCACAGUAUUCGGGUGGGAGUGACCCGAUUUUCCAGGUGCCGUCCGCCACCCCUUUCUUUGACUCGGAAAGAAAUUCUAUGGCAGUACUGGCUGUGCCUGAGAAACCUCCUGCCACUCAAGCCCAGCAAGGACACAGGCAGGUUACUGAGUAGAUGGAUUGACCAGAGCUUCCUAUAAUACCAAGGAAAGUUUCACGGAGAACAUCUGGAAUUAAGUCAACUUGAGUGGAUUGAAGGAUGCAAAGUAUUUUUCCUGGGUGUGUCUGUCAGGGCGUUGCCAAAGGAGAUCAACAUUUGAGUCAGUGGCCCGGAAGAGGCAGACCCACCCUCUAUCUGGGUAGGCACCAUCUAAUCAGUUGCCAGUGUGGCUGGAAUAAAGCAGGCAGAAGAACAUGGAAGGACUUGACUUGCUGUCUUCUGGCCUUCAUCUUUCUCCUGUGGUGGAUGCUUCCUGCCCUUGAACCUUAGACUCCAGGUUCUUCAGCUUUUGGACUCUUGGACUUACACCAGUAAUUUGCCAGGGGCUGUCUCUCUAGCAUCCUUGCUCCUCAGCUUGCAGACAGCCUAUUGUGGGACUUCAAUUUGUGAUUGCAUGAGUCAAUACUUCUUAAUAAAUUCUCCUCCAUAUAUACAUCUGUCCUGUUUUUUCUGUUCCUUUAGAGAACCCUAAUUAAUACAGAUUUAUUCUCUUCCAGAUUCUUUUUAGAAAAAUUACAGAGAAUAUUGGAUU
rnacentral:lncRNA from 1 species